rfam:Stegodyphus mimosarum contig71129, whole genome shotgun sequence.
GCCUUCGUAAUGCAGUGGUCAGCACGCUCGAUGCGUAACCGAGAGGUCCGUGGUUCGAUUCCCGGCAAAGGCG